CCAUAGCCCAGAUUGAACGGCCUGUCUGAGCUCUUUUUAUAAGCCAAGGGAAAAGCCUAGGCAUAAAAAAGCGAGUAGUGAAAGCUGGAAUAAGC
rnacentral:misc_RNA from 1 species